rnacentral:rRNA from 1 species
UGGGGAAUAUUGGACAAUGGGCGAAAGCCUGAUCCAGCCAUGCCGCGUGUGUGAAGGAGGUCUUCGGAUUGUAAAGCACUUUAAGUUGGGAGGAAGGGCAGUAAGUUAAUACCUUACUGUUUUGACGUUACCGACAGAAUAAGCACCGGCUAACUUCGUGCCAGCAGCCGCGGUAAUACGAAGGGUGCAAGCGUUAAUCGGAAUUACUGGGCGUAAAGCGCGCGUAGGUGGUUCGUUAAGUUGGAUGUGAAAGCCCCGGGCUCAACCUGGGAACUGCAUCCAAAACUGGUGAGCUAGAGUAUGGCAGAGGGUGGUGGAAUUUCCUGUGUAGCGGUGAAAUGCGUAGAUAUAGGAAGGAACACCAGUGGCGAAGGCGACCACCUGGGCUAAUACUGACACUGAGGUGCGAAAGCGUGGGGAGCAAAACAGGAUUAGAUACCCUGGUAGUCCACGCCG